UACGUAGGCAGCGAGCGUUGUUCGGAAUUACUGGGCGUAAAGAGUGUGUAGGCGGUGCUCUAAGUUCGGUGUGAAAUCUCCCGCUUAACUGGGGAGGGUGCGCCGGAAACUGGAGUGCUCGAGCGUGGGAGAGGAAAGGCGGAAGUUCCUGGUGUAGCGGUGAAAUGCGUAGAUAUCAGGAGGAACACCUGCGGUGUAGACGGCUUUCUGGACCAUUGCUGACGCUGAGACACGAAAGCGUGGGUAGCAAACAGG
rnacentral:rRNA from 1 species